rnacentral:rRNA from 1 species
UGGGGAAUUUUGGACAAUGGGGGCAACCCUGAUCCAGCCAUUCCGCGUGAGUGAAGAAGGCCUUCGGGUUGUAAAGCUCUUUCAGCUGGAACGAAACGGUCCGCUCUAACAUAGCGGGCUACUGACGGUACCAGCAGAAGAAGCACCGGCUAACUACGUGCCAGCAGCCGCGGUAAUACGUAGGGUGCGAGCGUUAAUCGGAAUUACUGGGCGUAAAGCGUGCGCAGGCGGAUUGUUAAGCAAGAUGUGAAAUCCCCGGGCUUAACCUGGGAAUGGCAUUUUGAACUGGCAGUCUAGAGUGCGUCAGAGGGGGGUGGAAUUCCACGUGUAGCAGUGAAAUGCGUAGAGAUGUGGAGGAACACCGAUGGCGAAGGCAGCCCCCUGGGAUGACACUGACGCUCAUGUACGAAAGCGUGGGUAGCAAACAGG